GGGCGGUUAGCUCAGCGGGAGAGCACUACGUUGACAUCGUAGGGGUCACUGGUUCAAUCCCANNUCCCAGUACCGCCCACCA
rnacentral:tRNA from 1 species